rnacentral:rRNA from 1 species
AGUGAUCGCUGGCGGUAGGCCUAACACAUGCAAGUCGAACGGCAGCACAGUAAGAGCUUGCUCUUACGGGUGGCGAGUGGCAGACGGGUGAGGAAUACAUCGGAAUCUACUUUUUCGUGGGGGAUAACGUAGGGAAACUUACGCUAAUACCGCAUACGACCUACGGGUGAAAGCAGGGGAUCUUCGGACCUUGCGCGAUUGAAUGAGCCGAUGUCGGAUUAGCUAGUUGGCGGGGUAAAGGCCCACCAAGGCGACGAUCCGUAGCUGGUCUGAGAGGAUGAUCAGCCACACUGGAACUGAGACACGGUCCAGACUCCUACGGGAGGCAGCAGUGGGGAAUAUUGGACAAUGGGCGCAAGCCUGAUCCAGCCAUACCGCGUGGGUGAAGAAGGCCUUCGGGUUGUAAAGCCCUUUUGUUGGGAAAGAAAAGCAGCAGGUUAAUACCCCGCUGUUCUGACGGUACCCAAAGAAUAAGCACCGGCUAACUUCGU